UCUGGCAAGUCACGAUAAUGGCCACUACCCUACUCCACUCUCCGCAAUGGAUUUCAUGUGGUUCCACCACUCUCUGACAAGUCAUGACAAUGGACACCACUCCACUCUCCAGGCUCCACCACUCUCUGGCAAGUCGCGACAACGGACAUCACUCCACUCUCUGUAACAAACUCCACGUGGCCCUGAACGGUCCCUGACGCCACUAC
rnacentral:lncRNA from 1 species